rnacentral:tRNA from 1 species
GUCCGCAUAGUGUAGUGGUUAUCACGUGCGCUUCACACGCGCAAGGUCCCCGGUUCGAGCCCGGGUGCGGACA